rnacentral:rRNA from 1 species
GGGCCCUACACAUGCAGUCGGACGGUAGCACAGAGGAGCUUGCUCUUCGGGUGACGAGUGGCGGACGGGUGAGUAAUGUCUGGGAAACUGCCCGAUGGAGGGGGAUAACUACUGGAAACGGUAGCUAAUACCGCAUAACGUCGCAAGACCAAAGUGGGGGACCUUCGGGCCUCACACCAUCGGAUGUGCCCAGAUGGGAUUAGCUAGUAGGUGGGGUAACGGCUCACCUAGGCGACGAUCCCUAGCUGGUCUGAGAGGAUGACCAGCCACACUGGAACUGAGACACGGUCCAGACUCCUACGGGAGGCAGCAGUGGGGAAUAUUGCACAAUGGGCGCAAGCCUGAUGCAGCCAUGCCGCGUGUAUGAAGAAGGCCUUCGGGUUGUAAAGUACUUUCAGCGGGGAGGAAGGCGGCAAGGUUAAUAACCUUGCCGAUUGACGUUACCCGCAGAAGAAGCACCGGCUAACUCCGUGCCAGCAGCCGCGGUAAUACGGAGGGUGCAAGCGUUAAUCGGAAUUACUGGGCGUAAAGCGCACGCAGGCGGUCUGUUAAGUCAGAUGUGAAAUCCCCGGGCUUAACCUGGGAACUGCAUUUGAAACUGGCAGGCUUGAGUCUCGUAGAGGGGGGUAGAAUUCCAGGUGUAGCGGUGAAAUGCGUAGAGAUCUGGAGGAAUACCGGUGGCGAAGGCGGCCCCCUGGACGAAGACUGACGCUCAGGUGCGAAAGCGUGGGGAGCAAACAGGAUUAGAUACUUUGG